UCAAACCCACCGAGAUCUGGAGGGGAGAUAAAUUAGUGUGGGGAGGGAAUUUUAAGGAAGAAGUUGAGUGUCCUAAGAAUGUCCUUUCAUGGGAGGUGAGACCACACUGUGAGAGCCGAAGGGACCUGGAAUCCUCUCACAUCAAACCCAUCGCUGUGCCCAGGUUUGCAAAGUGGCUCAGCAGGUGCUGGGGCAGCAAUCGUAGCUGCCUGUCACCCCAUUCCCUUUUCCAUGGGAACCCCUGAUCUGAACCAAGAAAACUGCCGUUCUCGAGUACUGGGAGACAGGAGACAGAAGAGUGGGCAGAGAGGGCCAGGCCUCUUUUCCAUCCUCCCCUCUAAAAUUCUGCAGCGAUCUCUCAGUUAGCCUUAGUGAUCUAUUUCACUGAAUGAUUUAUUUCCUUGCAACGACCUGUAUGCCUUUGUGUUCUCCACCAGGAACCAAUUUGCUGAGAGGAUGAGACCGAGUGUCACAGGCUGAUCAAACAGAAGCUGUAAUGUCCUAGGAUUUCCUGAUACUACACUGUGGCUUGGCCCUCAGCAGUGUCUUCUCUGUAUCUGCCAGCUUUUAUGUCACUGGCCAGUCCCUUUGUGAGGUCAACUGUCUUUGACUCAAGAAAAAACAAGUACUAUUGGCACUGCCUCCCCCAGCAGACUGUACACAGUCAUGUGCUGCAGAAUGGUGUUUUGGACAAUGAUGAACCGGAUACACAACAGUGGUCUCCUAAGAUGAUCAUGGAGCUGAAAACUUCAUCAGAGCUGUCAUAACACCACAGUGCAAUUACUCUAUUUUUAAAAUAAAUGUACUGCAGCCUCAGUGUGCCAUGUUGAUAAAAGUCUGCAGUCAUGUACAGCAAUGUCCUAGGCCUUCACAUUCACUCAGCGCUUACUCACUGACUCACCCAGAGCAGCUUCCAGUCCUGCAAGCUGCAUUCAUGACACAGGAAGGUGACAGUACUGGGAGCCUCAUUGAAAACAGGUGUUAAGUACAUGCUUGACAGCAAGAAUAACAAAAGCAAAGAUGCAAGAGGAUAGGGAAUGGAUGCAUCGAUCAAGUCCUGGGUGAAACGCACAAGGAAGCCAUUCUGGCCGCUUGAAGCCACACUGGCUUGUUGGCCUGCUCAGCCCACCUCAGGCCCCUGGCACCAGUUCCUGCACUGACUUUCUUCACGGAUGCUGCCCUGCACAUUCUCCUGCUGCCACUCAGCCAUAUACCCACACUGCGCACACUAAGAAACCGAUUUUCCUGAGGCAAUGAAGACUGUAGAUAGAAGGGCCCGUUUUCUCUGUGCUGCUGCUCUUUAUCGUGCCUUUAGGAGCUACUCUCUUGUUUUCUUUUUGAUAUGUCACAGAAGAAACAUUUCUCCCCAGUCCCCAAGGUAAUUUUUCUCCUCCUUCCCUCCACUUUGCCACAAUGGAGUGCAGCACUCAAAAGCUACAAUGGGGUUGUCAAUGUCUCUCAUUUAUGGCCCGCCUCCUCCAGGGCCUGGAGAUGACUCUGGAUCUGUGAAGCCCUCACCUCAUGACCAUCCUGGGCUUCCCACUACACCCUGCCACCUCCUCAGCCCCACAGCAGGGUCUGAGACCCAGUUCCCAUUCGCCUUCACUCUGCUAUUUUCAAUUUCUCACUCUCCUUCAGGAACACAGAAACCCUCAACCCCCUCCCUGCCAAAAACAACCCCCAGGGCCAAAUGAAGCUCAUUACCUUGCUGUUCCUUUGACAGACAACUGAUAUUUUUCUACUCCUUAUGAAACUCUCAGGGUCCACAGGCAAACGUUCCUAUUACUGACUUCCUGUCUUCCAACAGUCGGCUUUCUACCCCACCGCGCUACCGAAGCUGCAUUUUAGAUCUUGACAAAGGACUCCCAGACUCAGAACUUAGCGGCUUUUCCUCAACCAAAUCCAAGUGCCUUGCGUGCUGCACUCCUCUGGGGACUACCCACUACUGGACAUCUCAUCCCUGGAUUCCAGAGCACCAGAAUGGCCUCCGAGUCUCCUGGGCCCCACUAACAGUGCUGAUGCUCCACUCUGACAGUCCACUCACACGGCUGCGCUCCCACCUAGACUCUGAGUUCCUCAGGAGCAGGGAUCAUGGCCCAGGCAUUUUUGUUGGCACAACCAAGUGACCAACAGACUCCAGGCCUCCUGAGGAUGUGUUUGUUGAGUAAAUUAACUAUUAACUGGGUAUUUCCUAGAAAUAAUCUGUAAUUGUUUCUCUGGAGUCCUUUUAUAAUGGCUUGCAGGGGUAGCUAUAGGACUCUCCUGGGAAAGAGAAGCAAUUGAAGGUGAUGGAAAAAAUAAGAAAAACACUUCGAAUUAUUCAUUCACUCCAGCAAACAGCGGUAUCAGGAGUGGGAGUGUCUUAAGAAAAGACAGACAGUUGCUGUUUUAGAGCAGAAAUUACCUACCUGUCACAUUUCCUCGCAAGAAUCCCACAACUGCAAUACUGCCAACGAAUUCCUCCUUGCUGGUUAGAAUUUUCCAAGCCCACUGCUUCAUAACUGUUUUUAUUCUUUUUUUUUUUUUUUUUUUUUUUUUUUUUUUUUUUUUUUUUUUUU